UACAGAGGGUGCGAGCGUUGUCCGGAAUCACUGGGCGUAAAGGGCGCGUAGGUGGCGCCCCAAGUCCGUGGUGAAAGCUCGAUGCUUAACAUCGAGUCGGCCACGGAGACUGGGGGGCUCGAGCACUGUAGGGGCAGAUGGAAUUCCGGGUGUAGCGGUGGAAUGCGUAGAGAUCCGGAAGAACACCGGUGGCGAAGGCGGUCUGCUGGGCAGUUGCUGACACUGAGGCGCGACAGCGUGGGGAGCAAACGGG
rnacentral:rRNA from 1 species